UACGUAGGCAGCAAGCGUUGUCCGGAUUUAUUGGGCGUAAAGAGCGUGUAGGCGGCCUGAAAGGUCAGCUGUGAAAACUCGAGGCUCAACCUCGAGACGUCGGUUGAAACCAUCUGGCUAGAGUCCGGAAGAGGAGAGUGGAAUUCCCGGUGUAGCGGUGAAAUGCGCAGAUAUCAGGAGGAACACCGGUGGCGAAGGCGGGUCUCUGGGCCGGUACCGACGCUGAGGAGCGAAAGCGUGGGGAGCGAACAGG
rnacentral:rRNA from 1 species